rnacentral:rRNA from 1 species
GAUGAACGCUGGCGGCGUGCCUAAUACAUGCAAGUCGAGCGAACAGAUGAGGAGCUUGCUCCUCUGACGUUAGCGGCGGACGGGUGAGUAACACGUGGAUAACCUACCUAUAAGACUGGGAUAACUUCGGGAAACCGGAGCUAAUACCGGAUAAUAUAUUGAACCGCAUGGUUCAAUAGUGAAAGACGGUUUUGCUGUCACUUAUAGAUGGAUCCGUGCCGCAUUAGCUAGUUGGUAAGGUAACGGCUUACCAAGGCAACGAUGCGUAGCCGACGUGAGAGGGUGAUCGGCCACACUGGAACUGAGACACGGUCCAGACUCCUACGGGAGGCAGCAGUAGGGAAUCUUCCGCAAUGGGCGAAAGCCUGACGGAGCAACGCCGCGUGAGUGAUGAAGGUCUUCGGAUCGUAAAACUCUGUUAUUAGGGAAGAACAAAUGUGUAAGUAACUAUGCACGUCUUGACGGUACCUAAUCAGAAAGCCACGGCUAACUACGUG